GAUGAACGCUGGCGGCGUGCCUAAUACAUGCGAGUCGAGCGAACAGACGAGGAGCUUGCUCCUCUGACGUUAGCGGCGGACGGGUGAGUAACACGUGGAUAACCUACCUAUAAGACUGGGAUAACUUCGGGAAACCGGAGCUAAUACCGGAUAAUAUAUUGAACCGCAUGGUUCAAUAGUGAAAGACGGUUUUGCUGUCACUUAUAGAUGGAUCCGCGCCGCAUUAGCUAGUUGGUAAGGUAACGGCUUACCAAGGCAACGAUGCGUAGCCGACCUGAGAGGGUGAUCGGCCACACUGGAACUGAGACACGGUCCAGACUCCUACGGGAGGCAGCAGUAGGGAAUCUUCCGCAAUGGGCGAAAGCUUGGCGGAGCAACGCCGCGUGAGUGAUGAAGGUCUUCGGAUCGUAAAACUCUGUUAUUAGGGAAGAACAAAUGUGUAAGUAACUAUGCACGUCUUGACGGUACCUAAUCAGAAAGCCACGGCUAACUACGUG
rnacentral:rRNA from 1 species